rnacentral:rRNA from 1 species
CACAUGCAAGUCGAGCGGUAAGGCCCCUUCGGGGGUACACGAGCGGCGAACGGGUGAGUAACACGUGAGCAACCUACCCUCAACUUCGGGAUAAGCCUCGGAAACGGGGUCUAAUACCGGAUAUCAUCUUCUGCUUCAUGGUGGAAGGUUGAAAGUUCUGGCGGUUGGGGAUGGGCUCGCGGCCUAUCAGCUUGUUGGUGGGGUAAUGGCCUACCAAGGCGUCGACGGGUAGCCGGCCUGAGAGGGCGACCGGCCACACUGGGACUGAGACACGGCCCAGACUCCUACGGGAGGCAGCAGUGGGGAAUAUUGCGCAAUGGACGAAAGUCUGACGCAGCAACGCCGCGUGAGGGAUGACGGCCUUCGGGUUGUAAACCUCUUUCAGCAGGGACGAAGCGAAAGUGACGGUACCUGCAGAAGAAGGACCGGCCAACUACGUGCCAGCAGCCGCGGUAAUACGUAGGGUCCGAGCGUUGUCCGGAAUUAUUGGGCGUAAAGGGCUCGUAGGCGGUUCGUCACGUCGGGAGUGAAAACUCGGAGCUUAACUCCGAGCCUGCUUCCGAUACGGGCAGACUAGAGGUAGGCAGGGGAGAGCGGAACUCCUGGUGUAGCGGUGGAAUGCGCAGAUAUCAGGAAGAACACCGGUGGCGAAGGCGGCUCUCUGGGCCUUACCUGACGCUGAGGAGCGAAAGCGUGGGUAGCGAACAGGAUUAGAUACCCUGGUAGUCCACGCCGUAAACGUUGGGCGCUAGGUGUGGGGGACAUUCCACGUCCUCCGUGCCGCAGCUAACGCAUUAAGCGCCC